UGAUUCUAUGAUUCUAUGAUUCUAUGAUUCUCUUACCUCCCUUUUUAAAACGCGUUUGCUGCUUCAGGCCAGCGGGCGCGGCCAAGCCGCGUAAAUUGGACGGCAAAACAAGCGGGUAAAAUGAGGAAGUUUUAUCACAAACGCUCUUUUUGACAUCCAACCACUGGGUGUCACUGUCGAUCCUAGGUGGGUAUUUUCAUAGUGAGCGGCAAUUUUUAAUGAUUCAGGCGGUACUGGGAGCUCUUCACCUUCUUCUCCAGGCAUCUAUUUCAGAAUAAAUACUUUGCUUCCACUGGCUGUUUCAGGAUAUUUUCAACUCGGUGGUGGCAGCGUUGUUCCUCCUCAUUGUGUGCCUGUUUGCAGUAAUAGUCAAGACCAACAACGGGACGCUGGCUGGAGGAGUGUUUGGUCUUGUAUUGCUUGUUCUCUGUGUUGUCGACGCGGUUCUUCUUUUCCAGAAGAUCAGCCUUGAUGGGCCAAGAGGAAGGAAUACUCCUGCGAAAUAAGAUUGCUGUGUUAGUAAAAGCACGGUUUCUCUGUCGAUGACUGGUUCACUGUUCUCUUUUAAAGAAUUUGUAUUUUCACAUGUUCGCCUUGGAAUUUUCCGUGCAUUUAUGUACGUUUUUGCAAGUAUCGUUUGUAAGUUUUCUUACAAGUGUGGUUUCAGUGUUGCAGUUUCACCAGCAUAAGCGUCACAAAGAAUUGUCGUUUUUUCAAAUUUAAUUACAUUUUCACCUGUUUAUUUGAAAAUUAAUUUCAUGAUUGCCUUCUUUCUGUAAUAAAGAGAAGAUGCAAACAG